UGGGGAAUAUUGGACAAUGGGCGAAAGCCUGAUCCAGCAACGCCGCGUGAGGGAUGACGGCCUUCGGGUUGUAAACCUCUUUCAUCCACGACGAAGCGCAAGUGACGGUAGUGGGAGAAGAAGCACCGGCCAACUACGUGCCAGCAGCCGCGGUAAUACGUAGGGUGCAAGCGUUGUCCGGAAUCAUUGGGCGUAAAGGGCUCGUAGGCGGUCCAUCACGUCGAGAGUGAAAAGCUGGGGCUCAACCCCAGUCCUGCUUUCGAUACGGGUGGACUAGAGGUAGGUAGGGGAGAAUGGAAUUCCUGGUGUAGCGGUGAAAUGCGCAGAUAUCAGGAGGAACACCGGUGGCGAAGGCGGUUCUCUGGGCCUUACCUGACGCUGAGGAGCGAAAGCGUGGGGAGCAAACAGGAUUAGAUACCCUGGUAGUCCACGCCGUAAACGUUGGGCGCUAGGUGUGGGGGACGAUUCCACGUCCUCCGUGCCGCAGCUAACGCAUUAAGCG
rnacentral:rRNA from 1 species